AGAACGAACGCUGGCGGCAGGCCUAACACAUGCAAGUCGAACGCCGUAGCAAUACGGAGUGGCAGACGGGUGAGUAACGCGUGGGAACAUACCCUUCGGUUCGGAAUAACUCAGGGAAACUUGAGCUAAUACCGGAUACGUCCGAGGUUUUAAUCGACCUUGGAGAAAGAUUUAUCGCCGGAGGAUUGGCCCGCGUCUGAUUAGCUUGUUGGUGAGGUAAUGGCUCACCAAGGCGACGAUCAGUAGCUGGUCUGAGAGGAUGAUCAGCCACAUUGGGACUGAGACACGGCCCAAACUCCUACGGGAGGCAGCAGUGGGGAAUAUUGGACAAUGGGCGAAAGCCUGAUCCAGCCAUGCCGCGUGAGUGAUGAAGGCCUUAGGGUUGUAAAGCUCUUUUACCGGGAAGAUAAUGACGGUACCGGAGAAUAAGCCCGGCUAACUUCGCGCCAGCAGCCGC
rnacentral:rRNA from 1 species